rnacentral:rRNA from 1 species
UACGGAGGGGGCUAGCGUUGUUCGGAAUUACUGGGCGUAAAGCGCGCGUAGGCGGUGAUCUAUGUCAGAGGUGAAAGCCCGGGGCUCAACUCCGGAAUUGCCUUUGAAACGGGAUCGCUAGAGUCCGAGAGAGGAUGGCGGAAUUCCUAGUGUAGAGGUGAAAUUCGUAGAUAUUAGGAAGAACACCGGUGGCGAAGGCGGCCAUCUGGCUCGGUACUGACGCUCAGGCGCGAAAGCGUGGGGAGCAAACAGG